AUGGGGAAAAGGAAAAGUUUCUAUCUGGCAAAACUAUCCAGAGUGGCAAGAUGCCUGGAUGUUCUUGAAAUCUUCUCGCCUAGCAUCUUGGCCCAAGUAAGUGGACUCCAGUAAAGGAAUCUUUGCAGCUCAGGAUAAACACCAGGGGCUAGCCUUAGGUUUAUUCCUCCUCCUGGACUUUCAGGCAGUGGGCCACGGGGACAGGAUGCCUGUGCUUGCUGGAGAGCCUGUAGCAAUUAUUCAUGGCUAGCCAAUUGGCUUUCACUGUGUACACCCUGAUAACCUUUUUUUCCCCAAAAUGCUAAAUUUGAUAUCUCCUUUAAACUGCAUAAACAUUUUAAUGGAUAUAGAACUCAGCCAUGCAAUAACACUGAGCAUUUAAUGGUGGCAUGAAAUGUAAAGGGGUCACUCUGAGGUCUCUAUUGCUUCCUUAUAUUCGGCCAUAUGUAGUACUAGUCAAUGAGAUUCAAGGAGAUCAUAGUUACUUGGAGUAGUAGAACACUAGGUGAGAAAACUUCAAAAAGUAUAAUGUAUAAAGAGAAAUAAAACGCAACAUUAUUAACA
rnacentral:lncRNA from 12 species